CUAGUAUGCAUAUCGCUGGUCGGCAGCAGCAAGGAGUGGAGCGUUUCCAUGCCCGAUACCGAGGAGAUCCUGUGCGUCACGGCGGGCAGCGACGUCGUCGCGUGUGCGACUAACGCGAGGUUGCUGCGGCUGUUCACGCCAAUGGGCACGCAGAGACAGGUCUGAUGAUGCUUCGACUUCAAGGGUAAAAACGAAUAAAACCACAGAUUGUAUACGAGGAACACCGCCAAAAUAUGGCUACAGCAACAUAGAAAUGACUCCACGAAAAAAAAAACUUGUAAAAAAGUUGCAGCGAACACAGUGUUUGUUAUCAUCACUCUCAAAAACAUCCGUCGAUUUGGACAAAUUAGAUUCCGAUUUUCUGAAAAAUGUUGUAUCAGACUCUCUGAAAAAUCAAGCCCGGAAACCUAGAGGCAAGCGAUGGAAUUUAAUUAACAAAAUUUCUGCUGUACUUUCAUAAAGUAUCUUCUGUAAUGCUAGAUCCAAAACAAAAACAUAAAAUGAAAGUGAAAUAUGCCGCUCAAACUCUAAGUAAUACUUUCGCAGCUAUUCUAAAGAUGAUUGCAGAAAAAUAUGAAGACACAGAGUACGGAAAAGAAGUGGCACAAACAUCCGAGGUAGUACGGGACCUUAAUAAUUUAUUUGAUUCUACUAAUGGCCCAUCAAACCCAAAAGAUGUAAUAAAGGGACGAAGACAAAAUGUGUCUCGUAAAACCAAUCACAUAGAAAUCUGGAAUAGUUUUUUGAAAAAGCUGAAGUCAAUGGAGUUCAUGAAAUCAGAUAGCAGGUUAAGAUUAAAAAGAGUCAGAUGCGUGGAAGGUUAUAUUGUAACCAUAAAUUCGCUUAAAGAUAUCUGGUGUUAUUGUAAGGAUCAAGGAUUUAACUAUUUGAAUUUACGCUCACUGAAUCAAGACGCUCUUGAAAACCUAUUCGGACUUAUACGACAGAAUAGCCCUACAAAUCGAAAUCCUACCUGCACACAUUUUGUAAGUGCAUUGAAAUCAAUUCAUAUUUCUGGAAUGAAUGCACCACAUAACCGAGGAUCUAAUUGCGAAGAAGAUUUGAACAAGUUAUUGCUUGUCAAUCCAUUAUGCCAACAUGAUGUUGAUGGUGAUGAGAAACUCACAUCAAUGACUACCAAUUAAGAAGAAGAAUAUCCUGUUUUAAUGAUACCUGAAAAUGAAUUAGAGGAGCAAAUUGAAACAGAUUUAACAGACAUAGAAAAUCAACCUAUUGUAUAUUUAAGCGGUUACAUAGCUUAUAGACUGUUGAAGAACGUAAGCUGUCAAAUGUGUUCUAAUUUGCUGAAACUGGAAGAUGUUACAGAUCACCCAAUGUAUACAUUUAUAAGCUUGCGGGAGUGGUGGCAAGAAAAGAAAUCAUUAACGUACCCAUCUAUCCAGCUGUGUCGUACAAUUGAGGAAGCGAAAAACUAUUUUGAAAAAAAUAGUCAUUUAUUAUAUGAAGAAAAUGUCGGGCAAAUGUUUUGCACACUCUUUGCGGCAAACAUUAACAUAACCUGGUGGACAUGUAAGGAACAUGAGGAUUUCAUGAAAAAACAAUUAUUUUGGCUUGUGACCAAAAUCUUAAUUAGAAGACAGUGCCAAAUAUUAAAUUCGGAUAUUAUUAAAACAGAAGAAAUUUCUGCGAACGCUGCAAAGAUAGCUCAACUAAGAAGCGCUGCAAAAUAAUAUAUGUAAUAACGAGUAUGCAAUAUCAAUUCCACGCGGACGAAGUCGCGGGCAACACCGCGACUUCGUCCGCGUGGAAUCUUAUCUUCAACAUUUUACAUCUUUAGUACCUAUAAUUUUCAUAUCCAAGCAAUGUUGACAUUUUUUAGCAAGUUGUAUGAAGUUUUAAGUCAAGUGGAUUUUGAUGUUGGUUGCUGAAAUUACUUUUCUUGUAUUCUCAUAAUAGGUACCUAUGCCCUUAUACAAAGAUUCAAGUUCCGCAUUCCGCACUCACUAAAUAUCUGAUCUCCAUACAAACUUUCAACCCCUUUUUCACCACCUUAGGGGAUGAAUUUUCAUAAAUGCUGAAAUGAGUUUUCUUGUAUUUUAAUUUAAAACGUUUUUACAAAGUUUCAAGUUCCUUGCUUAAAAUAAAAUUUGCACCCGCAGACAAACUUCCAUCCCCUUUUUAACCUCCUUAGGGGUUGAAAUUCCAAAAACGUUGCAAUCACUUUUUUUUGCAAUCGGCUAUUAUGCCUUUCUAAGAAGUUUCAAAACCAUUUGUAAUGGAUUCAAACUUUCAACCCCUUUUUAACCCUGUUAGGGGAUGAAUUUUACAAAACGCUGAAAUUACUUUUCCUGUCUUCUAAUAAUAUCCCUAAAUACAAAGAUUCAAGUCCAACACUCGAAAAAAUGUUUGAUAUCCAUACAAACUUUCAACCCCUUUUUCAUCACUUUAGAGGUUGAAUUUUCAAAAACGCUGAAAUUAGUUUUCUUGUAUUUAAAUAAUAUAUCUUUUAACGAAGUUUCAAAUUCGUAGCUCAAAAGAAAACUUUAACCCCAUACAAAUUUUACGUUCAUAACAUAAGCGUAUUGUAAUAAUAAACUAUCUGUAUCAUAUCUUUAAUAUGUUAAAUAAAAUUAUUUUUAUAUUUUGCUUUUAUUUUAUUAAUCCUAGUGAUACUCAAAAUUUACUGUUACUAUAGUACAGUACAGCAGCAUGUACAGUCGCCAUCAGAUAUAUCGAAGCGGCCAAAGUGCUCACAAAUAUCUGAACACGCCUCUAUUGUCAUGGCGCUAGGUGCGUGUUCAGAUAUUUUUGAGCACCUCGGCCGCUCCGAUAUAUCUGAUGGCGACUGUAU